GGUAUCUUCGGGAUGGGGGCGUGGGGAAUAGGAAGGGGGACAGUGUGGUGCGGAACUGCAGUGCGGAAAGCGUGUGCAUGCGGCGUCUCAAGGCAGGGGUGAAAGCCCAGAGGUCAACUGGGGAAUUGCCGUUGAGGCUGGGGGACUUUGGAACGGGAGAGGUGAGGGGAAUUCCCAGUGUAGAGGUGAAAUUCGUAGAUAUUGGGAAGAACACCGGUGGCGAAGGCGGCUCACUGGCCCGUAACUGACGCUCAUGCACGACAGCGUGGGGAUCAAACAGGAUUAGAUACCCGUGUAGUC
rnacentral:rRNA from 1 species